AUUGAACGCUGGCGGCAGGCCUAACACAUGCAAGUCGGACGGUAGCACAGAGGAGCUUGCUCCUCGGGUGACGAGUGGCGGACGGGUGAGUAAUGUCUGGGGAUCUGCCCGAUAGAGGGGGAUAACCACUGGAAACGGUGGCUAAUACCGCAUAACGUCGCAAGACCAAAGAGGGGGACCUUCGGGCCUCUCACUAUCGGAUGAACCCAGAUGGGAUUAGCUAGUAGGCGGGGUAACGGCCCACCUAGGCGACGAUCCCUAGCUGGUCUGCGAGGAUGACCAGCCACACUGGAACUGAGACACGGUCCAGACUCCUACGGGAGGCAGCAGUGGGGAAUAUUGCACAAUGGGCGCAAGCCUGAUGCAGCAAUGCCGCGUGUAUGAAGAAGGCCUUCGGGUUGUAAAGUACUUUCAGCGGGGAGGAAGGCGAUGUGGUUAAUAACCGCAUUGAUUGACGUUACCCGCAGAAGAAGCACCGGCUAACUCCGUGCCAGCCGCCGCGGUAA
rnacentral:rRNA from 1 species